rnacentral:rRNA from 1 species
UACGAAGGGGGCUAGCGUUGCUCGGAAUCACUGGGCGUAAAGCGCACGUAGGCGGGUCGUUAAGUCAGGGGUGAAAUCCUGGAGCUCAACUCCAGAACUGCCCUUGAUACUGGCGAUCUCGAGUUCGGGAGAGGUGAGUGGAACUGCGAGUGUAGAGGUGAAAUUCGUAGAUAUUCGCAAGAACACCAGUGGCGAAGGCGUCUCACUGGCCCGAUACUGACGCUGAGGUGCGAAAGCGUGGGGAGCAAACAGG